CGGUGUUUAACUGGCGUGAUGUGGGACGUCCUACCGGUGGGCUUAGCCUCGCGAGGGGCGGCCCAACUAAUAUCCCGUCGCGGUGCUCUUUACUGAGUGUCGAGUCGGGCCGGUACGUUUACUUUGAACAAAUUAGAGUGCUUAAAGCAGGCUAUCCUCGCCUGAAUACUGCGUGCAUGGAAUAAUGGAAUAGGACCUCGGUUCUAUUUUGUUGGUUUUCAGAACCCCGAGGUAAUGAUUAAUAGGGACAGAUGGGGGCAUUCGUAUUGCGACGUUAGAGGUGAAAUUCUUGGAUCGUCGCAAGACGGACAGAAGCGAAAGCAUUUGCCAAAAAUGUUUUCAUUAAUCAAGAACGAAAGUUAGAGGUUCGAAGGCGAUCAGAUACCGCCCUAGUUCUAACCAUAAACGAUGCCAGCUAGCGAUCCGCCGAAGUUCCUCCGAUGACUCGGCGGGCAGCUUCCGGGAAACCAAAGCUUUUGGGUUCCGGGGGAAGUAUGGUUGCAAAGCUGAAACUUAAAGGAAUUGACGGAAGGGCACCACCAGGAGUGGAGCCUGCGGCUUAAUUUGACUCAACACGGGAAACCUCACCAGGCCCAGACACCGGAAGGAUUGACAGAUUGAUAGCUCUUUCUUGAUUCGGUGGGUGGUGGUGCAUGGCCGUUCUUAGUUGGUGGAGCGAUUUGUCUGGUUAAUUCCGAUAACGAACGAGACUCUAGCCUGCUAAAUAGGCGUACCUUAUGGUAUCGCGAAGGCCCCCGGCUUCGGCCGGUGGGUUUUUACUACCAACGUACAAACAAAUCUUUUUAGAGGGACAGGCGG
rnacentral:rRNA from 1 species